AGGCGGUUUGUCGCGUCUGCUGUGAAAGCCCGGGGCUUAACCCCGGGUGUGCAGUGGGUACGGGCAGACUAGAGUGCAGUAGGGGAGACUGGAAUUCCUGGUGUAGCGGUGGAAUGCGCAGAUAUCAGGAGGAACACCGAUGGCGAAGGCAGGUCUCUGGGCUGUUACUGACGCUGAGGAGCGAAAGCAUGGGGAGCGAACAGGAUUAGAUACCCUGGUAGUCCAUGCCGUAAACGUUGGGCACUAGGUGUGGGGGACAUUCCACGUUUUCCGCGCCGUAGCUAACGCAUUAAGUGCCCCGCCUGGGGAGUACGGCCGCAAGGCUAAAACUCAAAGGAAUUGACGGGGGCCCGCACAAGCGGCGGAGCAUGCGGAUUAAUUCGAUGCAACGCGAAGAACCUUACCAAGGCUUGACAUAUACCGGAUCGUUCCAGAGAUGGUUCUUCCCCUUUGGGGUCGGUAUACAGGUGGUGCAUGGUUGUCGUCAGCUCGUGUCGUGAGAUGUUGGGUUAAGUCCCGCAACGAGCGCAACCCUCGUUCCAUGUUGCCAGCACGUGAUGGUGGGGACUCAUGGGAGACUGCCGGGGUCAACUCGGAGGAAGGUGGGGAUGACGUCAAAUCAUCAUGCCCCUUAUGUCUUGGGCUUCACGCAUGCUACAAUGGCCGGUACAAAGGGUUGCGAUACUGUGAGGUGGAGCUAAUCCCAAAAAGCCGGUCUCAGUUCGGAUUGAGGUCUGCAACUCGACCUCAUGAAGUCGGAGUCGCUAGUAAUCGCAG
rnacentral:rRNA from 1 species